GAGAUCCGAAAUGUCGCUCGAGGUCGAGAACCCUGGGGGCGGUGAGUCGGCCAACCGGCUCAGCCUCAAGCGCCAUGACUCGCUCUUCGGCGAUGCGGAGAAGGUCUCUCAUGGCAAGUACCAUGGCUCCGAGGUAUGUUCCUCUUGCAACCUGCUGGUCAUGAAUGUUAUGGAAAUGUUCUACACUUUUGCCUGCCAAGUGCCAUGGAACAGUAAGCCUGACUGAAGUUUACCUUGUGGGUGACGCAGGGGAGCUGGGCCCGGACGCUGCAUCUUGCCUUCCAGAGCGUCGGCAUCAUCUAUGGCGACAUCGG
rnacentral:lncRNA from 1 species